ensembl:lncRNA
GGAAGUCGAAUCUUCCACCAUCUUGGACCAAGCUGAUUCUAACAAGCUUUUGUCAUGUCCUACGGCCCUAUCAUUCUUUCAAAGGCUGUGCCCUGCCCCCUUCCAUCCCGUUUCAAAAGGACUCCCACAAUUGAGGCCACACUGUUCAGCCGGCAGGAUUUCUGUUUACUGAUGAGGGGUGGACUCCAUGCUCCUGCAUUGGAAGUGAGGUGUCUUAACCACUGGACCGCCAGGGAAGUCCCAAGAGGCUGAAUUUCAAGACACCAGGAAAUUAACACAAGAAGAAGCAGAGACAGCCUGCACCACCACUCACAAGAACGGGAGGCAGAAAGUGCCAGAAAGUAGAACUGCAAGUCCCUGGGGAUUCACAGAACUCACCAGCACCAGCAUAUCACAUCCAAAGUCACUACCCUGUGCCAGGCAAUGAUCUAAGCGCUUUAUACUAUAUGCACUUUAUAUAACCACUUUGUAUGAGUUCCUUAAAUCCUCAUAACAUUGCCAGAAAGUUCAGCCCGCUUGUUAUCCUCAUCUUACAGAUGAAGACUCAGGCCUUGAGAAGUUAAAUGUUGGCCAUGCAAACAGCUCCCCCUGGUGGACCCCUCUCCAAAUGACCGGCUCCCUCUCAACCUUCAGGUCUUAAAGCAAAGGUUUCCCCGGUGGCUCAGAUGGUAAAGCGUCUGCCUGCAAAGUAGAAGACCUGGGUUCGAUCCCUGGUUUGGGAAGAUCCCCUGCAGAAGGAUAUGGCAACCCACUCCAGUACUCUUUCCUGGAAAAUUCAAUGGAUGGGGGAGCCUGGUGGGGUCGUAAAGAGUCAGACACGACAGAGCGACUUCACUUUCACUUUGUCCUCAAAGAGACUUUCCCCAGGCGCUGUGUCCACCUCCGUCAUCCUCUGUCACAACACCUAUCACCACACAUAGCAAGAUUUUAAUAUGUUUAAUCUUCGUAUUGUUUUCCUCCGUUAAUUUGACGGUAAGUUCCAUGACCGCAAGGAGCAGCGCCUGCCGUGUGUACCGUUUUAUACCACCAGCACCUCGCGCAGCCUGAAAGAGGCAACGUGAGGACCCAAAACUGAUCCAUCAGGAAGGAAAUCAGAACGCUUUCAGCCGCCAGUCACAAACUA